CACAGGCGCGGCGUGGCCAGGGCUGGGCGCCUCGUGCGCGGCUCCGCGGCUGAGGGCAGAAUGGUGUCUUGAAGUAUAUGACUUCGAUAUUUCAAAGGAGUGAGAUGUCUACAGGAAGGAUGGAAAGCAGCUCUCUUGCCUAAUCUGCAUGGAAAAGGAGAACUGGGUCAUGGCUUACCAAAACUUGGUGGGAAAGUGGAGCCUUCUGUUCUUCAGACCCUCUUAAUACACAGAUUCAAGGUCAAGAGCUGAAACUGGAUAUUGCAUGAAUUACACUGCUCUACAGGCAAAAUGCUUCUGAAAUAAAUGGAAGUUAAAUGAGAUUCCUGCAGUAAAGAAAGUACAGCACUAGAAAAUCUUUUUGGGUGUCCAUCUUGCAAGCCUGUUGGUCUGCGAUAGAAGAACAUCACAAAAUAUCCAAAAGACCCUGAGAAUUAGCAACUGUUUUUUUGUGAGCAUUACCAAAUGUGUCUGAUCACUCUUUUACAAGUAGAAGAUGCAUACUGUUGAAUGCACAAAUUAAAAUUUUCAAAUCA